UACGGGGGGGGCAAGCGUUGUUCGGAAUUACUGGGCGUAAAGGGCUCGUAGGCGGCCAACUAAGUCAGACGUGAAAUCCCUCGGCUUAACCGGGGAACUGCGUCUGAUACUGGAUGGCUUGAAUCCGGGAGAGGGAUGCGGAAUUCCUGGUGUAGCGGUGAAAUGCGCAGAUAUCAGGAGGAACACCCAUUGCGAAGGCAGCUCGCUGGGACGUUACUGACGCUGAGACGCGAAAGCGUGGGGAGCAAACAGG
rnacentral:rRNA from 1 species